GAUGAACGCCGGCGGUGUGCCUAAUACAUGCAAGUCGAGCGCACUGGCCCAACUGAUAUGACGUGCUUGCACUGAAUUGACGUUGGAUUACCAGUGAGCGGCGGACGGGUGAGUAACACGUGGGCAACCUGCCCUGGAGCGGGGGAUAACAUCUGGAAACAGGUGCUAAUACCGCAUAACAACGAAAACCACAUGGUUUUCGUUUCAAAGAUGGUUUCGGCUAUCACUUCAGGAUGGGCCCGCGGUGCAUUAGCUAGUUGGUAAGGUAACGGCUUACCAAGGCAAUGAUGCAUAGCCGAGUUGAGAGACUGAUCGGCCACAAUGGAACUGAGACACGGUCCAUACUCCUACGGGAGGCAGCAGUAGGGAAUCUUCCACAAUGGGCGCAAGCCUGAUGGAGCAACACCGCGUGAGUGAAGAAGGGUUCGGCUCGUAAAGCUCUGUUGUUGGAGAAGAACGUGCGUGAGAGUAACUGUUCACGCAGGGACGGAUCCAACCAGAAA
rnacentral:rRNA from 2 species